rfam:Parcubacteria (Magasanikbacteria) bacterium GW2011_GWA2_56_11 TY92_C0005, whole genome shotgun sequence.
GAGAAGGUCCCAAGGGUUUGGCUGUUCGCCAAUUAAAGCGGUACGCGAGCUGGGUUCAGAACGUCGUGAGACAGUUCGGUCUCCUAUCUGUUGUGGGCGUAGAAUACUGAGAGAUCCAAUCCCUAGUACGAGAGGACCGGGAUUGACGAACCUCUGGUGUGCCAGUUGUGCGCCACGCAUCGCUGGGUAGCUAAGUUCGGUUCGGAUAAGCGCUGAAAGCAUCUAAGUGCGAAGCCGUUCUCGAGAUUAGUAUUCAUUUGAGAUUCCUUCUAGACGAGGAGGUUGAUAGGCGCUAGGUGAAUGCCGAGGCGUACUAAUUAAUCGAACACUACAGAAG